rnacentral:rRNA from 1 species
UACGUAGGUGGCAAGCGUUAUCCGGAUUUAUUGGGCGUAAAGGGAACGCAGGCGGUCUUUUAAGUCUGAUGUGAAAGCCUUCGGCUUAACCGGAGUAGUGCAUUGGAAACUGGGAGACUUGAGUGCAGAAGAGGAGAGUGGAACUCCAUGUGUAGCGGUGAAAUGCGUAGAUAUAUGGAAGAACACCAGUGGCGAAAGCGGCUCUCUGGUCUGUAACUGACGCUGAGGUUCGAAAGCGUGGGUAGCAAAUAGG